GAUGGGGCCUGGUCUGCUGGUGCGCUACGGUCUUACCGACCGUUCCCAGCGAAGCCGGUGUGACUCCGGUGCUGUCCCGCAACUGUGAUACCCCUCCCCGCGGAGGGGACGAGCCAGGUCGCCUGCGGAUCGGUCGCGACC
rnacentral:ncRNA from 13 species